UCCAGACUCCUACGGGAGGCAGCAGUGAGGAAUAUUGGUCAAUGGGCGAGAGCCUGAACCAGCCAAGUCGCGUGAGGGAAGACGGUCCUAUGGAUUGUAAACCUCUUUUGCCGGGGAGCAAAAAGCGGUACGUGUACCGCAUCGAGAGUACCCGGAGAAAAAGCAUCGGCUAACUCCGUGCCAGCAGCCGCGGUAAUACGGAGGAUGCGAGCGUUAUCCGGAUUUAUUGGGUUUAAAGGGUGCGUAGGCGGAACAUUAAGUCAGCGGUAAAAUCGAGGGGCUCAACCCCUUUAAGCCGUUGAAACUGGUGAUCUUGAGUGGGCGAGAAGUAUGCGGAAUGCGUGGUGUAGCGGUGAAAUGCAUAGAUAUCACGCAGAACUCCGAUUGCGAAGGCAGCAUACCGGCGCCCGACUGACGCUGAGGCACGAAAGCGUGGGGAUCGAACAGGAUUAGAUACCCGAGUA
rnacentral:rRNA from 1 species